rnacentral:lncRNA from 1 species
UAUUUUUGUCUAGAGAGCGGCUAGAGUACAUACUUUAAAAAAUAGUACAUAUGGUGCAUUAUGGUAUAUCAUUAAGACAAUCCAUCGUAACAUUUACCACAAUAGAUUAUAAACAAAAAGAAAAAUUAUAAUUUUUUUUAACAUACUAUUUUUUAUUAUUUUUAAUAUUUCUGUAACAUUCACCACUACCGAUCACAAUAUUCACCGCAAUUGAUCAUAAUGGUGUUUUGAAACUCUAAUUUAAGUUUAAAUAUAAAAAAAACACUAACCAUAACUAAAUAGACAGUAAUAAUUGAGUAAGUUGAAAAGCAUAUAAAAAUAUAUAAUUACAUAUUAAAAAACAGAAAAGAAAAUCUUGUAUUAUCAUUUCCCUUUGUUCUUUGACGUU